AUUGAACGCUGGCGGCAGGCCUAACACAUGCAAGUCGAGCGAGCGGCGGGCGGGUGCGUAAUGUAUGGGGACUGCCCGAUAGAGGGGGAUAACUCCUGGAUAAGGUUGCUAAUACCGCACACUAUCGGCUUCUCCAUAUGGGAUUAGCUAGUAGGUGUGGUAAUGGCUCACCUAGGCGACGAUCCCUAGCUGGUCUGAGAGGAUGAUCAGCCACACUGGGACUGAGACACGGCCCAGACUCCUACGGAGGCAGCAGUGGGGAAUAUUGCACAAUGGGCGCAAGCCUGAUGCAGCCAUGCCGCGUGUAUGAAGAAGGCCUGAGGGUUGUAAAGUACUGUCAGUCGGGAGGCGUUACCUACAGAAGAAGCACCGGCUAACUCCGUGCCAGCAGCCGCGGUAAUAC
rnacentral:rRNA from 1 species